rnacentral:rRNA from 1 species
AUAGCCUAACGGCUGAACCAGCAACUUGGAGGAAUGUAUAGCAAUAGCUAUUUGCACUAAAGAUUUUAGUGUAAAAUCGACUUUGUUGAAUAAAAUUCUGGAUAGAAUUAUGAUAAUGACAUUAUCUGUCCAUAAGUCUUGACCAAAUUACGUGCCAGCAGUCGCGGUAAUACGUAGAAGACAAGUGUUAUUCAUCUUUAAUAGGUUUAAAGGGUACUUAGACGGUAAAUAAAGCCUCCAAAAGGUACUAGUUUGCUAGAGUUUUAUGUGAAGGAGUUUUAAAGUACUACUGGUGUAGAGAUGAAAUUCAGUUAUACCUUACAUGGCACAGGUUAAGGCGAAAGCAUCUUCUUAUGUAAAAACUGACGUUGAAGGACGAAGGCUUUGUGUCUCGAACAGGAUUAGAUACCCUAGUAGUCUAAGCAGAAAAUGAUGAAUGUCAUAGAUUAGAUUUAAUUUGAUCUGUAAAUGAAAGUGUAAGCAUUCCACCUCAAGAGUAAUUUGGCAACAUUGGAACUGAAAUCAUUAGACCGUUUCUGAAACCAGUAGUGAAGUAUGUUGUUUAAUUUGAUAAUCCACAAAAAACCUUACCACAAUAAUUUGAAUAGAUAUAUUUUAUCAUACAAGCGUUGCACGGCUGUCUUCAGUUAAUGUCGUGAGACUUUGGUUAGUUCCAUUAAAUUAACGUAAACCCUUACUUUAUUUUUAAAAAAAGUAGUUCACCGCUAGAUUGGAUGUGAUAAUAGGGAUCAAGACAAGUCAUCAUGACCUGAAUAUAGU